rnacentral:rRNA from 1 species
GGCUCAGGGACGAACGCUGGCGGCGUGCCUAAUACAUGCAAGUCGUACGCUUCUUUUUCCACCGGAGCUUGCUCCACCGGAAAAAGAGGAGUGGCGAACGGGUGAGUAACACGUGGGUAACCUGCCCAUCAGAAGGGGAUAACACUUGGAAACAGGUGCUAAUACCGUAUAACAAUCGAAACCGCAUGGUUUUGAUUUGAAAGGCGCUUUCGGGUGUCGCUGAUGGAUGGACCCGCGGUGCAUUAGCUAGUUGGUGAGGUAACGGCUCACCAAGGCCACGAUG